rnacentral:rRNA from 1 species
AACGAACGCUGGCGGCAUGCCUAACACAUGCAAGUUGAGCGAAAACCGGGGGCUUGCUCCCUGGGGAAAGCAGCGCACGGGUGAGUAACGCGUGGAUAACGUGCCCUCGGGUUGGGAUAACUCACCGAAAGGUGAGCUAAUACCGAAUGUGUCCCUAAGAGGUGAGCCUCAUAGGAAGAAAGUGGGGAAACCCACGCCCAAGGAUCGGUCCGCGUUCCAUCAGUUUGUUGGUGGGGUAAUGGCCUACCAAGACUACGACGGAUAGCUGGUCUGAGAGGAUGAUCAGCCACACUGGGACUGAGACACGGCCCAGACUCCUACGGGAGGCUG